CCAAAGGCUCUUUUAAGAGCCACCUAAUCCUUCAAGUGGAAGGGCU
rfam:Calypte anna contig3928, whole genome shotgun sequence.